GUGAACGCUGGCGGUAGGCCUAACACCUGCCAGUCGCACGGCAGCACAGUAAGAGCUUGCUCUUACGGGUGGCGAGUGGCGGACGGGUGAGGAAUACAUCGGAAUCUACUUUUUCGUGGGGGAUAACGUAGGGAAACUUACGCUAAUACCGCAUACGACCUACGGGUGAAAGCAGGGGAUCUUCGGACCUUGCGCGAUUGAAUGAGCCGAUGUCGGAUUAGCUAGUUGGCGGGGUAAAGGCCCACCAAGGCGACGAUCCGUAGCUGGUCUGAGAGGAUGAUCAGCCACACUGGAACUGAGACACGGUCCAGACUCCUACGGGAGGCAGCAGUGGGGAAUAUUGGACAAUGGGCGCAAGCCUGAUCCAGCCAUACCGCGUGGGUGAAGAAGGCCUUCGGGUUGUAAAGCCCUUUUGUUGGGAAAGAAAAGCAGCAGGUUAAUACCCCGCUGUUCUGACGGUACCCAAAGAAUAAGCACCGGCUAACUUCGUG
rnacentral:rRNA from 1 species